UUACUGUGCAUCAGGGUAAAAUUGCCGAUUUUGUACGGCUUUUCGUGAUGCAAUCAAACGCAGUAAAAAUCUCCUCGCCGAAACCGAUGGAGCAGGGUAAAUUUACCCUGAAAAAAAGUCGGACCCUGGAGGGUCCGACUUUUUACCGUGGAUUUUUUUUUUGCCUGUUCGGGCUUUGUCUGUUCUCACGCCGCACGCGAUGGAGCAGCCGGCGAUUCCACCCUGGCUUCUCCAUUUUCAUUUUCGCAGUGGACAGCCUGCGAACUCUCCCUCUCCGCGCAGGGGAACUCACUCUCCGGCGACAAAAAGUUCUCCUACAACGUGCGGCUGAUCCAGGAAGCUUCGGUCAGAUUUCAAGGAUGGGGGUUCUGUUACUGCUGGAAAUGCUUCUGAGAUCAGGUCUGCAUUUACUUUUACUCUGCAUUACUAGCAGAUUGUGUUAUAUGAUUUAUUCCCAGUAGUUGUGACAUAGUGUCCAGCUCAAAACAUUUGCUGCACAUGAUGCUUUUAGUUUGAAUAAUUUUUUCUGAUGUUAUGGGGAAAAGAAUCAUCACGAUUCUGUGUUUCUGUGAGUUUUUUUUUUGCUAGCCAAGAAAAACGUGAACUUUAUUCUUGUUCUGCUUA